GUACUGAUAAAGUAAAAAAUCUAAGAAAAAAGAAAGCGUAUGCUGAGGACACAGAAUAUAGGCAAGUUAAAAAGCUACAAACUCAACAAAGAUAUAAAUGUGAUGAACAGUAUCAAGCAAAAUUAAAAAACAGUAGUAUCGCAAGAUAUGCUAAUAAUGAACCGUUCAAAGAACAAGUAAAAAUCAGCAGUAUUGAAAAAUAUGCUAAUAAUGAACCGUUCAAAGAACAAGUAAAAAACUGCAGUAUUGAAAAAUAUGCCAAUAAUGAACCGUUCAAAGAACAAGUAAAAAAACUGCAGUAUUGAAAAAUAUGCUAAGAAUGAACUGUUCAAAGAACAAGUAAAAAACUGCAGUAUUGAAAAAUAUGCUAAGAAUGAACUGUUCAAAGAACAAGUAAAAAACUGCAGUAUUGAAAAAUAUGCUAAGAAUGAACUGUUCAAAGAACAAGUAAAAAACAGCAGUAUUGAAAAAUAUGCUAAUAAUGAACUGUUCAAAGAACAAGUUAAAAACAGCAGUAUUGAAAAAUAUGCUAAUAAUCCUGCCCGUCAUAACCAGGUGAAACAAAGAACUGUAAUCAAAUACAGAGAUGAUCCAUCAUGUAAACCCUCUUUAAUUGAAAGAAACUGUCAAAAGAGACUUAAUCUUACCCUCUUAAAACACAAUAUUGACUUUGUAAUUGAGCUCUUCCAAGAAGAGGUCAAACAUGGACCAGAACAUGUUUGUUGUGUAUGUCACAGAUUAUUGUUCCGUAAGCAAGUUAGAUUAUGUGACAUAACUUCAUAUGAAUCCAAGGCUUCAACUGUGUCAGCAAUUGCAAAACAAUGCAUAACUACAACAUAUCUCCAUCAAUGUGAUAACGCAUGUUUAACGCCAUGCACACUAAAACAGACAGUUGCUGGGAAAUUGUGGAUAUGUUUCAGUUGCAACUCCAAGAUACUCAGUGGUAAGGUUCCCCAGGAGAGCGCUGUGAACAAUAUGGCAUUAGAUCCAAUUCCGGACGAAUUAGGCACACUGAACUCAUUAGAACAACACCUGUGCGCAUUGAAUAUUCCCUUUAUGCGACUUGUGGCAUUGCCACGAGGUUCUCAGAAUUCUGUCCAUGGGCCGGUGACUUGCGUUCCAUCAAACAGCGAUGUAGUCACUUCGGUUCUCCCUAGGCUAGAAAAUCAAGAUUUAAUGAUCCGAAUAAAACUGAAAAGAAAACUUACUUAUAAGGGGCAUUAUCAGUAUCAAUAUGUGCACACUCAAAAAAUCCAAAAUGCGAUAGCAUGUUUAAAGGACAUGAAUAAAUGAUAUAAUGACAUAGACUUUAACCCAGAAUGGGAAAAUCCCUUGCCAG
rnacentral:lncRNA from 1 species